rnacentral:rRNA from 1 species
AUACGUAGGGGGCAAGCGUUAUCCGGAUUUACUGGGUGUAAAGGGAGCGUAGACGGAAGGCCAAGUCUGAUGUGAAAGCCCGCGGCUCAACUGCGGGACUGCAUUGGAAACUGGUCAUCUGGAGUGCAGGAGGGGUAAGCGGAAUUCCUAGUGUAGCGGUGAAAUGCGUAGAUAUUAGGAGGAACACCGGUGGCGAAGGCGGCUUACUGGACUGUAACUGACGUUGAGGCUCGAAAGCGUGGGGAGAAAACAGGAUUAGAUGCCCUGGUAGUCCACGCCGUAAACGAUGAAUACUAGGUGUUGGGUUCCAAUAGGGAUUCGGUGCCGCAGCUAACGCAAUAAGUAUUCCACCUGGGGAGUACGUUCGCAAGAAUGAAACUCAAAGGAAUUGACGGGG